UGCGUAGGCGGUUUGGUAAGUCAGAUGUGAAAUUCCUGGGCUCAACCGAGGAACUGCAUUUGAUACUGCCAGACUAGAGUACUGGAGAGGAGACUGGAAUUUACGGUGUAGCAGUGAAAUGCGUAGAUAUCGUAAGGAAGGCCAGUGGCGAAGGCGAGUCUCUGGACAGUAACUGACGCUGAGGCACGAAGGCCAGGGGGAGCAAACG
rnacentral:rRNA from 1 species